GGAGAGGUAUUAGCAGUAGAAAGAGGGAAGUGCUCAUGCCAUUGUACAGAACACUGGUGAGACCUCACUUGGAGUAUUGUACACAGUACUGGAGACCUUAUCUUCAAAAGGAUAUUGAUACCUUAGAGAGGGUUCAGAGAAAGGCUACUAAACUGGUUCAUGGAUUGCGGGAUAAAACUUACCAGGAAAGGUUAAAGGAUCUUAACAUGUAUAGCUUGGAGGAAAGACGAGACAGAGGGGAUAUGAUAGAAACAUUUAAAUAUAUAAAGGGAAUCAACACAGUAAAGGAGGAGGCUAUAUUUAAAAGAAGAAAAACUACCACAACAAGAGGACAUAGUCUUAAAUUAGAGGGAC